rnacentral:other from 15 species
GUUUAACUUCUAUAUUAGAUAUAUUUAAAC